GCCCUUAUAGCUCAGUUGGUAGAGCGGCUGAUUUGUAAUCAGUAGGUCGGGAGUUCGAGUCUCUCUGGGGGCA
rfam:Sinorhizobium fredii GR64 contig00011, whole genome shotgun sequence.